UCUUGUACACGAAAAGGAUUUUAGAGUUGCAAACUCUUUCAAGAAGCUUUUCUAGAU
rnacentral:tRNA from 1 species